rnacentral:tRNA from 1 species
GGAAGUGUGGUUCAGUGGUAGAGCACUUGCCUAGCAUGCAUGAGGCACUGGGUUCAAUUCUCAGCACCA